GGUUGAUCCUGCCAGUAGUCAUAUGCUUGUCUCAAAGAUUAAGCCAUGCAUGUCUAAGUAUAAGCAAUUUAUACAGUGAAACUGCGAAUGGCUCAUUAAAUCAGUUAUCGUUUAUUUGAUAGUACCUACUACAUGGAUAACCGUGGUAAUUCUAGAGCUAAUACAUGCCUAAAAGCCCCGACCUCUGGAAGGGGUGUAUUUAUUAGAUAAAAAACCAAUGCCUUCGGGCUCCUUGGUGAUUCAUAAUAACUUUGCGGAGCGCAUGGCCUUGCGCCGGCGCCGAUUCAUUCAA
rnacentral:rRNA from 1 species